AGGUUGAGGUGUUGGAUAGAUUGGGGUUAGGUUGAGGUGUAGGUUAAGUUAAGGUUUCAUUAGAUAAAUUGAGGGUUAGGUUGAGGUGUUGAUAGAUUGGGGUUAGGUUGAGGUGUAGGUUAAGUUAAGGUUUCAUUAGAUAAAUUGAGGGUUAGGUUGAGGUGUUGGAUAGAUUGGGGUUAGGUUGAGGUGUAGGUUAAUUUAAGGUUUCAUUAGAUAAAUUGAGGGUUAGGUUGAGGUGUUGGAUAGAUUGGGGUUAGGUUGAGGUGUAGGUUAAUUUAAGGUUUCAUUAGAUAAAUUGAGGGUGAGGUUGAGGUGUUGGAUAGAUUGGGGUUAGGUUGAGGUGUAGGUUAAGUUAAGGUUUCAUUAGAUAAAUUGAGGGUUAGGUUGAGGUGUUGAUAGAUUGGGUGUUAGGUUGAGGUGUAGGUUAAGUUAAGGUUUCAUUAGAUAAAUUGAGGGUUA